rnacentral:lncRNA from 1 species
ACCGCAUUUUCUAUCGUCCAUUUAAGCUCUCUGACGUAGUGUAUGAUAUGUGCUUGCUUGAAAAUCAGCUUCCAUUCUUCAUCCUCCAGAAGUUGUUUGAGCUAUAUAGUGUAGCUGCCAAUCCUGAGAAUUGUACCCUUACUGAGCUUACCUAUGGGUUAUUAAGAGAACCAUGGUCUAACUGGGUAAAAGAAGACAGCUGGAAAGAAAUCGAUUCCUCUGGAGUCCUGCAUUUCGUUGACUUCCUAAGAAAGUGUCAGCAGCCAAAGGAACAGCGCCGUGCACCGAAAGCAAAUACUUUUUUUGACGCACCAACCGCAACAGAGCUCCAUCAAUCUGGCAUGAAGUUUAAGAAUCCAAAAAACGGCUCAUUAUUAGACAUAACAUUCAGUAAUCGGAUUCUGGAAAUACAAGACGGCACAGAAAUUUUAUUCAGAAAUCUCCAGGCCUUUGAGCAAUGCCAUCAUAGGUUAUUGGAUACUUUCGUAACUAACUAUAUUACUUUCAUCAGCCGCCUCGUCAGGGAUCCCAAUGAUGUGAAAGUACUUGAUCGUGAAGGGAAUUUGAAAAAUAUGCUAAUCAGUGAAGGAGCAGUGUCAAAUCUCUUUUACAAUCUUCAAAAAGAAAUUUUUGUCACUACUGAUGGUUUUCUUUCGGGUGUCGGCGAAGAUUUGAAGUCAUAUUGCAGAAAGCGUAGGCACGAGUGGAUGGCAACCUUGAAGCAGGUUUAUUUCAACAAUCCAUGGACUGGCAUCUCUGUUUUUGCCGCUACUUUUCUUCUUAUUCUUACUAUCAUACAAACAGCGUGCUCUAUCCUUCAAUUGCCGUAAAUAUUUAACCCGUUUGUACUUUUAUUUCUUUUUAUGAUUGCAAUGUACUUAAAAUCAUAAAUUAAUCUCCCUCCUAAGGCAAUACAACUUGGGAAUUUAAAAAACGCCACUGUAUCAUGGGAAUCACUGUCCCUAUAAGGUCAUGAUGCACCCUUGAUUUUGAUGGCUAUUCCUUUUAUUUUAUAUUUCUUUUCUUCUAAUAUUUUCUUUCUUUCUUUUAUUUUCCUUUUAUUCGCUUCGUGGAAAGUCAUGUCAGAAACAAUACUGCUAAAUGAUAAAAGGCCCAGGCCUCCACUUGAACCCUGAUUUUAAGCAGGGUUGAGGAUUUUUAUUUGGGCAAAGAUUGCGCCUUAUAAAUUUAGAUGGCAACAGCUAGCCCACUUGGCCAGUUUUAAUUUUCUCAAUGAUCUGGGCUAAAAUCCCAAGAGCUGCACUAACCUGGGAAUCACAGUUCCUAUAAGGUCAGGAUCCAUCCUUGCUAAGGCCACUCUUUAUAUGUGUAAUACAAUCUCUGUAAACAUCAUUCUACAGAGGAUGAGAACAACGGAACUGUAAACGAGCAAGGCUUUAUUAAGUAUCGAAACUGAGUCUCAUCGACAUAAUGGGCAGGAUUAUGAAUUAAAAAUAUAUUUGCCUGCAAAUGAAACCAUAUUUUGCUUCUAGACAAAUAAUGUCAGAAACAAUAUUUGCCUUCACUUUCCUCUACAAUUAACCCUGCGAAAAAUCAGGUUUCUUGGGCCUCAUAUAAUUGAGCACAUUCACAGAGAAAAUUUAUGUCCUUCAGCCUUCAAGGAUAGUGUUCCUUUCAAUGUUUUGCAACUUGAAGGUUAGGGUUGUUGACUGUUAAUUAAAUGCAUAUUAAUUUAGAUUGUUGUAAACCCUUAUGAAAAAAAAUAAACGAUUAAUUAAAUUAAUAUUGUAUGAAAAAUUUGAAAUAAAUAUGUACUGAGUACGAGAAAACAGUUCCAAGGAAUUAUAAGGAAAAGAAAAUUUAAGAAAGAAUUGUAUUGUAAGCACGGCUUUAAAAUCAACUACAUUUCCGGGGAAUAGUAAUGGGUUUGUAUAGAAAAUAAAUGGCAAAAAUACAAAAUAGAGAUAUUUAAGAUAAGAAAAUAAUCUUGAUAGUUAAGUAAAAUAAUUUAUAUAAGAAUGAAAUAAAAAAAAAUUGAAUUUUUAAGAAAAAAUCACAAGCUAACUAGUUUUACGAUGUAACAGAUAACUUUUAAUAUGAUUGUCAUAUUAAGUUGAAAUUUUAUAUGGACUCUUAUAAAAUAUUAUUUUAAUUUAAAUUAAAAUUUCAGAGUUUUUAAAUUUUAAUAAAAAAAUAUUUCAAAUCAAGUACAGUUAAUGAAUAAAAAAUAGCACAAAUAAGUGCUUAGAAAUUUCUUCAAGAAUCCUUCCAUGUGGGACAUGGUUGCAUGUGAUACAAAUGAAUAAAUGCCAUAGGUUUGCAAGCUGUCCCUUCUCUUUUGUUCUUUUAUUUAUGACAUCACGACGGCCCCGCCCUUAUUCAAUGGGGGGGGGGGGGGGAGCAAUCCGUUACAUGAUUUCUCAAAGUUUAUUUUAUAAGAUAAAAUAAAAUAUUAUGAUUCCAACUACUGCCACUGACAUGCGGUGUUUUGUGGCUUUGAUCUAAAACUGUUAAGAAAAAAAAUCCCAAGAGUUAUUUACCCAAGAAAAUUGCGCCGAAAUGCAGGGGUCCAAUUACAAUUUACCCAAGGACUUGAUUACAUAAUUUCAGAACUUCAGUGACCAGAUUGAAAAUAGAUAUUCCCAUCAAACAAACGGCGCCAUUUUGGAAAUUUUAAAUUAUUAGAUAAAAAUAUAAAAUAUAAUAUUUUUUAAUAUUCUUUUAAAUAAAACAAUUUUAAACUUUAAACUUGUACAUAUUUAAUUUAUCUUAUACUUAAUUUUUAUUAAAUAAAUAAAAAAAUUAAAAUUAAAAUUCAUGACUAUUUGAUAAAACUUUGAUACUAUAUAAAAAAAUUAAUUCAAUUUAAAAAUUUAAAUUUUUAAAUAAAAUAUAAUUUACAAUUUAUAUUAUUUUACAACCCGUUAAAGUCGUUGCAUUUCCCCCACUUAAAGCGUCUCCAAUGGAGUUGCUAAAUGGAUAGCCAAAAAUAAAAAAGGUAAUAUUUUAGCUUUUCUUUACUUGUUUUUCAUACUUCAAGGGGAAAGCCAAACAAAAUGCUAAAAUAAUUUUUUUUUCUUUUCAUAAAUGCGAUUCUUAUGUAUCUUUCAAAAGAGUUAAAACUAAUAAAGUGAGGCCAACAAAAGAAUAAACCAAUUAAAUCUAGCCAUGUGGAAAAAAACAUCAAAAUCAUUAAAAAAAAUAAAACACUUAUUUAUUUCACUCUAAUAAAAUUAACUUUUUAAAUGUUUUUUUUUUCAUUGAAAUACAUCUUAUAAAAAAAACUAUAUUUAUACUAUUCAAAAUAUUAUUUUAUCAAUUUACAUAUUUUCAUAUGAGAUGCUCUUACUGUUGCGUUUUUAUUGCUAUCUAAGGCCCCGUUUGUUUGCUGGAAAGUAGUUUCCUUUUGGAAAGUGAAUUCCAAGAAAGUAUUUUCUGAUAUUUGGUAGUGUAAUGAAAAAAAAAGUUAGAAAACAUUUUCCAGUGUUUGGUUAUGUCAUGGAAAAUGAGCUGGAAAAUAACUUAUUAAUAUUUUAUUUUUUUCAAGUUUAUUAAAAUAACGAGGAACAAAUCUUACAAAUUAAAAAUUUGAAUGAGAAUGAAAUUGAUAAAAAAAAUAUAAUUUCAUAAAUUAUCUCAAAUAAAAUAAAUAAUAAUAAAAAUAAUAGAGAUCAAAUCUACAAAAUUAAAAAAAAAUGAAAGAUGAAGAAAUUAAAAUAAUAAUAAUCAAUAUUUCAUAAAUUAUUUCAAAUAAAAUAAGUAACAAUCAAAAGAAGGAGGACCAAAUUUGAUAGAUAAAAAAUUUCAAUAAAAAAAGAUAAGGAAAAAGCAAAUAGCAAUUAUAAAACUAAGGACCAAAGUUAAUAUAAAAAUUAAAUUUUAAGAGAUGAAAUUGAAAAAUAAAUAUUUAAAAUAUAUAUAUAUAUAUAUAUAUAUAGCAAUCAAAAGUUUGAGGAUCAAAUUUGAUAUAAUCAACUAAUAAUAACAUUUAUAAAUUUUUCAUAACUUCCGGAAAGUGUUUUCCUCUCAAAUUUUUAAGGAAAACAUUUUCCUGAAAACCAAGCCAAAUUUUCCUUUUACUGGAAAGUAUUUUCUAUUGAUCAACUUUUUUAAUUGCAAACAAACACAAGAAAGUUUGGAAAGUGGUUUUCUGAAAACCAUUUUCCGGAAAACAAACACAACUAAAGGAAAAACACUUUCUUGAAAACCAAGCCAAAUUUUUCUUUAACUGAAAUUGACCGGAAAAUGUUUUCCGUUGACUUGAAAAGUAUUUUUCGUUAACCAGAAAGUGUUUUCCGUUAACUAAUUUUCAUAAUAACAAAUAAACACAUAAAAGUUUGAAAAAAUAAUUUCUCAUAGACUAGUUUCCGGAAACAAAAUGGCCUAGGUGGAAUGAACGUUGUAAAGUGCUUCAUUUUCAUGCGGUGCAGAACUGUAGAAGAUAAGGUACAAGAUUAGAAAAGUCUUCAGGAAAACUGUAGAAGUGCACAGUUUGAGUGAGAAGUGAGAGGUGGUCCCCUUUUCAUGAGAAAUAAUGGAGGUGGUCCCCUUUUAUUAGAUAAAUAAUAGAUGGCCUAGGUGGAAUGAACGUUGUAAAGUGCUUCAUUUUCAUGCGGUGCAGAACUGUAGAAGAUAAGGUACAAGAUUAGAAAAGUCUUCAGGAAAACUGUAGAAGUGCACAGUUUGAGUGAGAAGUGAGAGGUGGUCCCCUUUUCAUGAGAAAUAAUGGAGGUGGUCCCCUUUUAUUAGAUAAAUAAUAGAAGGCCAAUCAUUCCAAAAAAAAGAAAAAAAGAAUUGGAAAUGGUUUGUUGGUAUAUUGAAAUAGAAAAUUGUAGAAUCAUUAUUAAAACCGAACCGAGAUAAAAAACCGAUUAAACCGAUUACUAAAACAAAAUAUCUUUCCGGUUCAAUUCGGUUCCGGUUUCACCACCAAAACCGGUGAACCGAACCGGCUACCCAUAAAAAUAAAGCAGAAAGGCAGAAUGACCUAGUAUAAAUACUAAAUGGUACAGUAAAGUGUAAACCUAAACCUAAAUGAUAUUACAAUUCACUUCUGCAGCCGCCGCCCACACCAAACCAGCCUUCUUCAUUUCCCCUUCAAUUUCAUCUUCCCUGCCUCUUGCCCCAUGUGUUCAUUCUCGUGUGCUUCACAUAGUAUGCUAAUCUUGAUCUUUCAUUUGAUGACUUUAGUGCCACUUACACAGGGAAGACUCUAACUAUGCGCUGGCACUAGCCCUGGGCAUGUCAUCUUCUUUGAUUGAAGGAACGGGAUAGAAGAGAACCAGAACCAUAUCGUUCACACAUUCAGUCUGAUCUUAUCUGCGCUAUUGCCCGAUCAUAGCUGGCACUGUAUGGUUUUUUUUUCUGCUUUUCUUGUAAAACAAUGUUGUGAGAUGCAUGAAUCACGAGCAGUUUUCAAUAGAGCUAUUGUAUGGGAUUUUUUUACAUUUAUUUGUGGGUGAGAGCAAUUUUUGCCAGUGCUACUAAGUACUACCUAUAACUAUUGUCGUUACUCCUCCUCUGGCAAGGUUUUUGGCUAGGAGAGGGAUUAUCAAGAAUGGUGUAUGAUUCUUGAUUUGUGUUUUUUUUAGGAGCUUUUUUACCUCUUUGCUUCUCUAUUUAGUAAGUUUUCUAAUUGUUAAUGUUGAACGGUAUAGAAAAGGAGAGGAAAUUUGGAAUAAGUUUAUAAAAUUUGAAAUGGGUUUUGGUGGAUAUUGGUUCAUAGUGGUGUUUUUAAAGUUGCUACAAAUAAUAAACUUGCUAAAUCUUCCCAAACCGUAAGCCAAUUUUAAAUCAAAAACCAAAAAAAACUCAUGGGAUUAGGUUUCCCGGUUUUUUCCUUAAAAAACCGAAUUUAAACGAACCGGACCGGUUCGGUUUGAACCGGUUUUCGGUCCGGUUCGGUUCAUUUUUUGCAACAAUACUGUAAUUCGAUUCGGUUGGUUUUUUUAAUCUAAACUCAACCGAACCGAACCGAACCGUGAACACCUCUAAUCUAGGUAGUGGCCCAGUGGUAAAAGCUUGGGACCAAGAGGUUUGCUCCCUCUGUGGUCUUAGGUUCGAACCCUAGGUUGCUCAUAUGAUGGCCACUGGAGGCUUACAUGGUCAUUAACUUCAGGGCCAGUGGGAUUAGUCGAGGUGCGCGCAAGCUGGCCCGGAUACCCGCAUUAAUAAAAAAAAAAUAAUAAUAGGGAUAUUACAAUUGUACUGUGUCGUAUGUGGUGAUUAAGGAUUAUUGAUAAGUACGUGUGUGGUGAUUAAGGGGCAAUAGAACAUUUUGGAAGGUAUAUUAAAGAGGGAGAGCCUACCAUUCUUGGCACAUCUUUUUGGACACUAGAGGUGGAUUGUCAUCAUUGAAACGAGAAGAACUUCUAAAACUGCCGGUUGUCGAGAGCUUUUAGGUAUGUAAGUUUCUAUCCAACAGGCUUUUGAUGCGUUUGUUAAUUGCUUUUAGAGUAAUAUUAAUGGAAUUUUAUGAAAACUACAAGGGUUAUAGCGGAAAAAUUGAAAUUAUAAGAGGAAAGUAGAACAAUGAUGAAUCUAUAAGGAUAAUUAUUGAAGUUUACCCUUUUAUUUUACAAGAAGACACCACUAAUUUGCAUUCCAUAAUCAAACAUAAGUGAAAAGGUUGUCGCUAAAACCCUCAGAAAACUGAAAUUUUCGAGUCCAAAAUUGGGUAACAUAUAGAACUGGAUACCCGUUUUUUGUUUUUUGUUUUUUUGAGCGGGUGAACAUGUGAAAAGACAUGAUUUAAGAGAAUAUUGUUCAAUUUUGAUUUCUUGCAAAUAUUUUGUGUUUGUUUCCUGAAAAUGUUUUUCUUAAGUAUGGUAUUUCAGUUUGUUUUGUCAAAUAGUGAUUAAUUAUACCUGCUGGUUCUAACGCCAUUGAUUAUCUCAGUUCAAUCAUAAGAGGGAAAUUGGCGGAACAUCAAGUACUGAUCAAAGGAUAAUGGAUCCGAGCCAUGGAAGACCCCCAAUAGAAUACUACGCGGGAUUUGAUUGGCCUCCUAAAAAUGUACAAGCUAUAGAAGAUGUACCUGUACAAGCUACGGGAGAGCACAAAAAUAUGCACCCGCCGCAACAAUUUUUUGAACGGAGGAAGGUAAGUGUGGAGGGUUUAUUUUACGUUAUCAAGGAUAAUGAAAAAGAAUUACGUGAUUGUUAUGCAGAAAUAUUAUUGUUUUUUUUUUUUUAUAUAUAACUUUUCCCUUAUUAUUUCCUCUCAAGUCCUUAUGCAUGUCAUUGUAUCUUACAACAAAAAUCCGAAACCUAAAAAACUGAAAAAUCAAAAUUAAAAGAAUUAGAUAUUUCAUAGUUAAGAGUAAUAUUAACAGGAUUUUAUGAAAACUAUAAGAGUAGGAGUAGAAGUAGAAUAUUAAUGAAUCUAUUACAAGGAAAAUAAAUGAAGUUUACCCUUUUAUUUUACAGCAAGACACCACUAGUUUGCAUUCCAUAAUAAAACAUAAGUGAAAAGGUUGUCGCCAAAACCCCUCAGAAAACUGAAAUUUUCGAGUCCAAAAUUGGGUAACAUAUAGAACUGGAUACCCGUUUUUUUUUUUUUUGAGCGGGUGAACAUGUGAAAAGACAUGAUUUAAGAGAAUAUUGUUCAAUUUUGAUUUCUUGCAAAUAUUUUGUGUUUGUUUCCUGAAAAUGUUUUUCUUAAGUAUGGUAUUUCAGUUUGUUUUGUCAAAUAGUGAUUAAUUAUACCUGCUGGUUCUAACGCCAUUGAUUAUCUCAGUUCAAUCAUAAGAGGGAAAUUGGCGGAACAUCAAGUACUGAUCAAAGGAUAAUGGAUCCGAGCCAUGGAAGACCCUUCCUGAUCGAUUGCUGCGUGGAUUCUAUGAUACCUCCUGUACCUGAACAAGCUACGGGAGAACACAAAAAUAUGCAGAGGAAGGUAAGUGUGGAGGGUUUAUUUUACGUUAUCAAGGAUAAUGAAAAAGAAUUACGUGAUUGUUAUGCAGAAAUAUUAUUGUUUUUAUAUAUAUAUAUAUAUAUAUAACUUUUCCCUUAUUAUUUCCUCUCAAGUCCUUAUGCAUGUCAUUGUAUCUUACAACAAAAAUCCGAUACCUAAAAAACUGAAAAAUCAAAAUUAAAAGAAUUAGAUAUUUCAUAGUUAAGAGUAAUAUUAACAGGAUUUUAUGAAAACUAUAAGAGUAGGAGUAGAAGUAGAAUAUUAAUGAAUCUAUUAUAAGGAAAAUAAAUGAAGUUUACCCUUUUAUUUUACAGCAAGACACCACUAGUUUGCAUUCCAUAAUAAAACAUAAGUAAAAGGCUCGUCACUAGAAACCCCAUGAAAACUAACACAGAUAGAAAUAACCACAAAUUAAGAUUGUAUGGUAAUCAAUCAGCAAAGGCUAUACAAACGAAGCUUGAGAAAGCUUAGCCUUGCACAAUUCUCAUAAUACAAGGAAAAAUACUCUAAAUUUUAUUCUCAAUUAUCAAAACUUAAUAUUACGCCUUUCCAUCCCAAAGGUGAUAAACUUGAAGAAAUUUGAAGCAGAGAAGAGACGUGAAAAAAACAGGGUUCUCAUUCAUAGUUUUUUAUGUUGUAUAUAUAUAUAUACAGAAAAAACUUGCAGCAAGGAAAGACAAUCCUGCGCAUUAUUUCUCCCAACAGUAUGCUAAGAUUAUAUGCUAAUAAUAAAUAUACAAUCAUAUUUAAACUAGGUAACAAAUAAGUUAUAUUUGGUAAUAGCAUAAUAGCGAAGUUCUUUAGAAUUGAUUCAGUAUCUUCAAUAAAACUAUAUAAAAAAUCUCAAUAAUGAUAAAAAUUUAUUUUUUGUUGCGUGCAAACUAAAAUAAAUUAUCUUAAUAGAAAAUUAGUGAAAUAGUUUUUUUUUUAAAUUUCUUUUUUGGGGGCUUGUAAAUGAAGAACUUUUUGAAGCCAAUAAAAUUUAAGUGAGCUUGAGUAGCCAUGAAAAAUAUCUGCGUUUAGCCAUUAUAUUGCUGUUUGUGUGAAAAUGUGAAAAGACGUGAUUUAAGAGAGUAUUGUUCGAAUUUGAUUUCCUGCAAAUAUUACUUUGGUAUUUCAGUUGGUUUUAUCAAUAGUGAUUAAUUAUACGUGCUGGUUGAUAAUGGAUCAGAGCCAUGAAGUUUCACUUGAUAUCAAUGAGAUAGCCAAUUCUUUGACGAAGCGGUUGGAGAUCAAGAAGGCUUUCUCCCAGGCAUGCUGCAUCUAUAGAGUCCCCGAACGAUUGCGGAAGUUAAAUGAAAUGGCAUAUACACCUCGAGUAGUCUCAAUAGGCCCUAUUCACCAUGGAAUGCGAUAUCUAAAUGCUAUGGAAGACCACAAAAUAAUGUACCUGCAACAAUUUCUCGAACAGAACAAGGUAAGGGUGGAGGAUUUAAUUAACAUUAUCAAGGAGAAUGAAAUGGAAUUACGUGAUAGUUAUGCAGAGACCAUUUAUCUUAGAAGGAAUGGCUUCGCAACAAUGAUCUUACUGGAUGCUGUCUUCAUUAUUAUGUUCUUACUGAACAGGAAGUACUGGAGCGAGCUUUAUGACAGGGGACGUAGUGACCACAUUUUCUAUCGUCCAUUUAAGUUCUCUGACGUAGUGUUUGAUAUGUGCUUGCUUGAAAAUCAGCUUCCAUUCUUCAUCCUCGAGAAGUUUUUUGAGCUAUCCAGUGAAGCUGAGAAUUGUACCCUUACUGAGCUUACUUGUGAGUUAUUAAACGUACCAUGGCCUGACUGGGUAAAAGAGGACAGUUGGAAAACAAUCAAUUCCUCAACGGAGAUUGACGAAAGAGUCCUGCAUUUUGUUGACUUCCUAAUAAAGUGUCAGCAGCCAAAGAAACAGUGCCGCGCAACGAAAGCAAAAACUUUUUUUGAGGCACCAACCGCAACGGAGCUCUAUCAAUCUGGCAUGAAGUUUAAGAAUUCAAAAAAA